rnacentral:rRNA from 1 species
UACGUAGGGUGCGAGCGUUAAUCGGAAUUACUGGGCGUAAAGCGUGCGCAGGCGGUUUUGUAAGCCAGAUGUGAAAGCCCCGGGCUUAACCUGGGAAUGGCACUUGGGACUGCAAGGCUUGAGUGCGGCAGAGGAGACUGGAAUUCCUGGUGUAGCAGUGAAAUGCGUAGAUAUCAGGAGGAAUACCGAUGGCGAAGGCAGGUCUCUGGGCUGACACUGACGCUCAUGCACGAAAGCGUGGGGAGCAAACAGG